rnacentral:rRNA from 1 species
UACGUAGGGGGCGAGCGUUGUCCGGAUUUAUUGGGCGUAAAAGGCUUGUAGGUGGCCACGUCAAGUCGGAUGUGAAAUCUCCCGGCUCAACUGGGAGGGGUCAUUCGAUACUGGCGGGCUCGAGGCCGGUAGGGGGAAGCGGAAUUCCCGGUGUAGUGGUGGAAUGCGUAGAUAUCUGGAGGAACACCGGUGGCGAAGGCGGCAUCCUGGACCGGUAUUGACGCUGAGGCGCGAAAGCCAGGGGAGCAAACGGG